UACGUAGGGUGCAAGCGUUGUCCGGAAUUAUUGGGCGUAAAGCGCACGUAGGCGGUCUUUUAAGUCGGGGGUGAAAUCCUGGAGCUCAACUCCAGAACUGCCUUCGAUACUGGAAGACUUGAGUCCGGGAGAGGUGAGUGGAACUGCGAGUGUAGAGGUGAAAUUCGUAGAUAUUCGCAAGAACACCAGUGGCGAAGGCGGCUCACUGGCCCGGUACUGACGCUGAGGUGCGAAAGCGUGGGGAGCAAACAGG
rnacentral:rRNA from 1 species